rnacentral:rRNA from 2 species
GGGUUGUGAGGUUAAGCGACGAAGCGUACACGGUGGAUGCCUAGGCAGUCAGAGGCGAUGAAGGACGUGCUAAUCUGCGAAAAGCGUCGGUAAGCUGAUAUGAAGCGUAAUAGCCGGCGAUGUCCGAAUGGGGAAACCCAGUGCAAUGCGUUGCACUAUCAUUAACUGAAUUCAUAGGUUAAUGAGGCGAACCGGGGGAACUGAAACAUCUCAGUACCCCGAGGAAAAGAAAUCAACCGAGAUUCCCCCAGUAGCGGCGAGCGAACGGGGAGGAGCCCAGAACCUGCAUCAGCUCGGGCAUCAGAGGAACGGUCUGGAAAGGCCGGCGAGAGAGGGUGACAGCCCCGUACUCGAAGAUGACCGGGUUGUGAGUUCGAAGAGUAAGGCGGGACACGAGAAAUCCUGUCUGAAGGUGGGGGGACCAUCCUCCAAGGCUAAAUACUCCUGACUGACCGAUAGUGAACCAGUACCGUGAGGGAAAGGCGAAAAGAACCCCGGCGAGGGGAGUGAAAGAGAACCUGAAACCGUGUACGUACAAGCAGUGGGAGCCCCACCACCAAAGCGUUUCGCUUUGCGUGGUGUACAAAAUGCGUAACGGCAUCACAGCGGCACGGUUGGCGGAGCGACAGCGACGCCCAACACAAAAAACAAGCCGUGGAGCGUUUUGGGGUGGGGUGACUGCGUACCUUUUGUAUAAUGGGUCAGCGACUUAUAUUCUGUAGCGAGGUUAACCGCAUAGGGGAGCCGUAGGGAAACCGAGUCUUAACUGGGCGAAUGAGUUGCAGGGUAUAGACCCGAAACCCGGUGAGCUAGCCAUGGGCAGGUUGAAGGUUGGGUAACACUAACUGGAGGACCGAACCGACUAAUGUUGAAAAAUUAGCGGAUGACCUGUGGCUGGGGGUGAAAGGCCAAUCAAACCGGGAGAUAGCUGGUUCUCCCCGAAAGCUAUUUAGGUAGCGCCUCGUGAAUUCAUCUUCGGGGGUAGAGCACUGUUUCGGCUAGGGGGCCAUCCCGGCUUACCAACCCGAUGCAAACUGCGAAUACCGAAGAAUGGUAUCACGGGAGACACACGGCGGGUGCUAACGUCCGUCGUGAAGAGGGAAACAACCCAGACCGCCAGCUAAGGUCCCGAAGUCAUGGUUAAGUGGGAAACGAUGUGGGAAGGCCCAGACAGCCAGGAUGUUGGCUUAGAAGCAGCCAUCAUUGAAAGAAAGCGUAAUAGCUCACUGGUCGAGUCGGCCUGCGCGGAAGAUGUAACGGGGCUAAACCAUGCACCGAAGCUGCGGCAGUGACGUUAAGGCGUUGCUGGGUAGGGGAGCGUUCUGUAAGCUGUUGAAGGUGGUGCCGUGAGGGCUGCUGGAGGUAUCAGAAGUGCGAAUGCUGACAUAAGUAACGAUAAAGCGGGUGAAAAACCCGCUCGCCGGAAGACCAAGGGUUCCUGUCCAACGUUAAUCGGGGCAGGGUGAGUCGACCCCUAAGGUGAGGCCGAACGGCGUAGCUGAUGGGAAACAGGUUAAUAUUCCUGUACUGAAUGCGACUGCGAAGGGGGGACGGAGAAGGCUAGGCCAUCCGGGCGACGGUUGUCCCGGUUUAAGCGUGUAGGUGGGAGGGGCAGGUAAAUCCGCUCUUCCGUGAACACUGAGGCGUGAUGACGAGCCGCUACGGCGGUGAAGUGGUUGAUGCCCGGCUUCCAGGAAAAGCCUCUAAGCCUCAGGUCGUAUUGAAUCGUACCCCAAACCGACACAGGUGGUCAGGUAGAGAAUACUCAGGCGCUUGAGAGAACUCGGGUGAAGGAACUAGGCAAAAUGGUGCCGUAACUUCGGGAGAAGGCACGCUGGCGUUAGGUGAAGGGAGAAACACCCGGAGCCGAGGCCAGUCGCAGAGACCAGCUGGCUGCAACUGUUUAUUAAAAACACAGCACUGUGCCAACACGUAAGUGGACGUAUACGGUGUGACGCCUGCCCGGUGCUGGAAGGUUAAUUGAUGGGGUUAGCCGCGAGGCGAGGCUCUUGAUAGAAGCCCCAGUAAACGGCGGCCGUAACUAUAACGGUCCUAAGGUAGCGAAAUUCCUUGUCGGGUAAGUUCCGACCUGCACGAAUGGCGUAAUGAUGGCCAGGCUGUCUCCACCCGAGACUCAGUGAAAUUGAACUCGCUGUGAAGAUGCAGUGUACCCGCGGCAAGACGGAAAGACCCCGUGAACCUUUACUAUAGCUUGACACUGAACAUGGAGCCUUGAUGUGUAGGAUAGGUGGGAGGCUGAGAAGCGCGGACGCCAGUCUGCGCGGAGCCAUCCUUGAAAUACCACCCUUGAAUGCUCGAUGUUCUCACUUAGGCCCGUUAUCCGGGCUGAGGACAGUGUCUGGCGGGUAGUUUGACUGGGGCGGUCUCCUCCCAAAGCGUAACGGAGGAGCACGAAGGUUGGCUAAUCACGGUCGGACAUCGUGAGGUUAGUGCAAAGGCAUAAGCCAGCUUAACUGCGAGAGUGACGGUUCGAGCAGGUACGAAAGUAGGUCUUAGUGAUCCGGUGGUUCUGCAUGGAAGGGCCAUCGCUCAACGGAUAAAAGGUACUCCGGGGAUAACAGGCUGAUACCGCCCAAGAGUUCAUAUCGACGGCGGUGUUUGGCACCUCGAUGUCGGCUCAUCACAUCCUGGGGCUGAAGUAGGUCCCAAGGGUAUGGCUGUUCGCCAUUUAAAGUGGUACGCGAGCUGGGUUUAGAACGUCGUGAGACAGUUCGGUCCCUAUCUGCCGUGGGCGCAGGAAGAUUGAAAGGGGCUGCUCCUAGUACGAGAGGACCGGAGUGGACGCACCGCUGGUGUACGGGUUGUCAUGCCAAUGGCAUUGCCCGGUAGCUAAGUGCGGGAGAGAUAACCGCUGAAAGCAUCUAAGCGGGAAACUUGCCUUGAGAUGAGUCUUCCCUUGACUUGAGGUCACGGAAGGAACGUUUAAGACGAAGACGUGGAUAGGCUGGGUGUGUAAGCGCAGCGAUGC